rnacentral:miRNA from 1 species
AGAAGUAAUUGCUGUUUUUGCC